rnacentral:rRNA from 1 species
UUAAGUUAAUAAGGGCGCACGGUGGAUGCCUUGGCACUAGGAGCCGACGAAGGACGUGACAAACGACGAUAUGCCUUGGGUAGCUGUAAGUAAGCGAUGAUCCAGGGAUUUCCGAAUGGGGGAACCCAACAGGUAGUACCUGUUACCCACAUCUGUUAAGGAUGUGAGGAGGAAGACGCAGUGAACUGAAACAUCUAAGUAGCUGCAGGAAGAGAAAGCAAAAGCGAUUGCCUUAGUAGCGGCGAGCGAAACGGCAGGAGGGCAAACCGAAGAGUUUACUCUUCGGGGUUGUAGGACUGCAAUGUGGACUCAAAGAUUAUAGAAGAAUGAUUUGGGAAGAUCAGCCAAAGAGAGUAAUAGCCUCGUAUUUUAAAUAGUCUUUGUACCUAGCAGUAUCCUGAGUACGGCGGGACACGUGAAAUCCCGUCGGAAUCUGGGAGGACCAUCUCCCAACCCUAAAUACUCCCUAGUGACCGAUAGUGAACCAGUACCGUGAGGGAAAGGUGAAAAGCACCCCGGGAGGGGAGUGAAAUAGAACCUGAAACCGUGUGCCUACAACAAGUUCGAGCCCGUUAAUGGGUGAGAGCGUGCCUUUUGUAGAAUGAACCGGCGAGUUACGUUAUGAUGCGAGGUUAAGUUGAAGAGACGGAGCCGUAGGGAAACCGAGUCUGAAUAGGGCGCCUUAGUAUCAUGACGUAGACCCGAAACCAUGUGACCUACCCAUGAGCAGGUUGAAGGUGCGGUAAGACGCACUGGAGGACCGAACCAGGGCACGUUGAAAAGUGCUUGGAUGACUUGUGGGUAGCGGAGAAAUUCCAAACGAACUUGGAGAUAGCUGGUUCUCUCCGAAAUAGCUUUAGGGCUAGCGUCGACAUUAGAGAUUCUUGGAGGUAGAGCACUGUUUGGGUGAGGGGUCCAUCCCGGAUUACCAAUCUCAGAUAAACUCCGAAUGCCAAUGAAUUAUGGUCGGCAGUCAGACUGCGAGUGCUAAGAUCCGUAGUCGAAAGGGAAACAGCCCAGACCACCAGCUAAGGUCCCAAAAUAAUUGUUAAGUGGAAAAGGAUGUGGGGUUGCACAGACAACUAGGAUGUUAGCUUAGAAGCAGCUAUUCAUUCAAAGAGUGCGUAAUAGCUCACUAGUCGAGUGACCCUGCGCCGAAAAUGUACCGGGGCUAAAACAAUUUACCGAAGCUGUGGAUACCUUUAUAGGUAUGGUAGGAGAGCGUUCUAUGUGUGAUGAAGGUAUACCGUGAGGAGUGCUGGAACGCAUAGAAGUGAGAAUGCCGGUAUGAGUAGCGAAAGACAGGUGAGAAUCCUGUCCACCGUAAGACUAAGGUUUCCAGGGGAAGGCUCGUCCGCCCUGGGUUAGUCGGGACCUAAGGAGAGACCGAAAGGUGUAUCCGAUGGACAACAGGUUGAUAUUCCUGUACUAGAGUAUGUAGUGAUGGAGGGACGCAGUAGGCUAACUAAAGCAGACGAUUGGAAGAGUCUGUCUAAGCAGUGAGGUGUGAAUUGAGUCAAAUGCUUAAUUCUAUAACAUUGAGCUGUGAUGGGGAGCGAAGUUUAGUAGCGAAGUUAGUGACGUCACACUGCCAAGAAAAGCUUCUAGCGUUUAANNNNNNNNNNNNNNNNNNNNNNNNNNNNNNNNNNNNNNNNNNNNNNNNNNNNNNNNNNNNNNNNNNNNNNNNCAUACUCUACCCGUACCGCAAACCGACACAGGUAGUCGAGGCGAGUAGCCUCAGGUGAGCGAGAGAACUCUCGUUAAGGAACUCGGCAAAAUGACCCCGUAACUUCGGGAGAAGGGGUGCUGACUUUAAGUCAGCCGCAGUGAAUAGGCCCAAGCAACUGUUUAUCAAAAACACAGCUCUCUGCUAAAUCGUAAGAUGAUGUAUAGGGGGUGACGCCUGCCCGGUGCUGGAAGGUUAAGAGGAGUGCUUAGCGUAAGCGAAGGUAUGAAUUGAAGCCCCAGUAAACGGCGGCCGUAACUAUAACGGUCCUAAGGUAGCGAAAUUCCUUGUCGGGUAAGUUCCGACCCGCACGAAAGGCGUAAUGAUUUGGGCACUGUCUCAACGAGAGACUCGGUGAAAUUUUAGUACCUGUGAAGAUGCAGGUUACCCGCGACAGGACGGAAAGACCCCAUGGAGCUUUACUGCAGUUUGAUAUUGAGUGUCUGUACCACAUGUACAGGAUAGGUAGGAGUCUAAGAGAUCGGGACGCCAGUUUCGAAGGAGACGCUGUUGGGAUACUACCCUUGUGUUAUGGCCACUCUAACCCAGAUAGGUGAUCCCUAUCGGAGACAGUGUCUGACGGGCAGUUUGACUGGGGCGGUCGCCUCCUAAAAGGUAACGGAGGCGCCCAAAGGUUCCCUCAGAAUGGUUGGAAAUCAUUCGCAGAGUGUAAAGGUAUAAGGGAGCUUGACUGCGAGAGCUACAACUCGAGCAGGGACGAAAGUCGGGCUUAGUGAUCCGGUGGUUCCGUAUGGAAGGGCCAUCGCUCAACGGAUAAAAGCUACCCUGGGGAUAACAGGCUUAUCUCCCCCAAGAGUUCACAUCGACGGGGAGGUUUGGCACCUCGAUGUCGGCUCGUCGCAUCCUGGGGCUGUAGUCGGUCCCAAGGGUUGGGCUGUUCGCCCAUUAAAGCGGCACGCGAGCUGGGUUCAGAACGUCGUGAGACAGUUCGGUCCCUAUCCGUCGCGGGCGUAGGAAAUUUGAGAGGAUCUGCUCCUAGUACGAGAGGACCAGAGUGGACUUACCGCUGGUGUACCAGUUGUCUUGCCAAAGGCAUCGCUGGGUAGCUAUGUAGGGAAGGGAUAAACGCUGAAAGCAUCUAAGUGUGAAACCCACCUCAAGAUGAGAUUUCCCAUGAUUAUAUAUCAGUAAGAGCCCUGAGAGAUGAUCAGGUAGAUAGGUUAGAAGUGGAAGUGUGGCGACACAUGUAGCGGACUAAUACUAAUAGCUCGAGGACUUAUCCAA